rnacentral:rRNA from 1 species
UACGUAGGCAGCGAGCGUUGUUCGGAGUUACUGGGCGUAAAGGGUGUGUAGGCGGUUAUUUAAGUUUGGUGUGAAAUCUCCCGGCUCAACCGGGAGGGUGCGCCGAAUACUGAAUGACUUGGAGUGCGGGAGAGGUGAGUGGAAUUCCUGGUGUAGCGGUGAAAUGCGUAGAUAUCAGGAGGAACACCGGUGGUGUAAACGGCUCACUGGACCGUAACUGACGCUGAGACACGAAAGCGUGGGUAGCAAACAGG